AACGAACGCUGGCGGCGUGGAUAAGGCAUGCAAGUCGAGCGCGAAAGUUUCCUUCGGGGGAUGAGUAGAGCGGCUAACGGGUGAGUAACACGUGAGUAACUUGCCUCUGGGUGGGGGACAACACCGGGAAACCGGUGCUAAUACCGCAUGAAGUUGCUGGUUCGCAUGGACUGGUAACCAAAGGGGGGGAUCUUCGGACCUCCCGCCUGGAGAGAGGCUCGCGCCUGAUUAGUUAGUUGGUGAGGUAACGGCUCACCAAGACGAUGAUCAGUAGCCGGUCUGAGAGGAUGGCUGGCCACACUGGGAUUGAGAUACGGCCCAGACUCCUACGGGAGGCAGCAGUCUAGAAGCUUCGGCAAUGGGCGAAAGCCUGACCGAGCGACGCCGCGUGCAGGACGAAGGCCUUCGGGUUGUAAACUGCUUUCGACAGGGAUGAACGGUAGGGGUGUGAAUAGCGUUCCUAUUGACAGUACCUGGAGAAGAAGCCCCGGCUAACUCCGUGCCAGCACG
rnacentral:rRNA from 1 species